rnacentral:lncRNA from 1 species
AAUCCCUCCGUCUCGGAAAUAUUUGUCGGAGAAAUGAAUAACGGAGGGAGUAUUAUUUAGGCUAUUUGUUCAGCAUUCCUACCCUUGCUUAGCUACAGUACUGCUACCCUUAGCUGCAUUACUACCGAAUUGAACUGGUUAGAAGCCAGAACAACUUAACUAACAGAAGCCAGAACAAUUCAUCGUCUCAUUCAUACACUCAUACUACUAAUCAUCCAUAGCUUAGCUGCACUACUUCCACUGAAUUGAACUGUUCGUCAUACUAUAAAUCUUAGUACUCCCUCCGUUCCUAAAUAUUUGUCUCUAGACAUUUCAAAUGAACACCACAUACGGAUGUAUGUAGACAUAUUUUAAAGUGUAGAUUCAUUCAUUUUGCUCUGUAUGUAGUCACUUGUUGAAAUGCCUAAAAAGACAAAUAUUUAGGAACGGAGGGAGUAUAUUGCAUUAAACAAGUUAACCAUGAGAAGCCAUCUAAGUUAACAUGGUGCAGAUAAUCAAACGCAUACGAGUACUUCACUG